UUCGUGACUCGAAGUUAAUCAGUGCAGCUGAGUGCGACCAGUGUUGAUAGUUCAUGAUAGCUCGAGUAGUUUUGGAUGAUUUGGACUGAUUUGGACCACUUGGACUUUGGAAAUCUGUACACACCACACGAAAUUGGUUUGAUUUCGUAACAGUACAUAUACCUAUAUGUGUUAAUUUUUUUUUAUUUUUCGUUGGUACGUGAAAAAUAAGUAUGUUAUCGUUUUUUCGUAAAUUGUCGUUAUCGGACAAAGUUAAGGAAGGCAUACUGCCGUACGGAGUUAUGGCCACCCCAGAAGAUCUUUUGAAAGCUAAAAACCAGAGCAAUUUAUUAUUGAAGGAUGAAAAUGAGCUGAGGGAAACUAUUUAUGAUUUGCUCCGAACAAUAAAAGACCCCGAAAAACCCCAAACCCUUGAAGAACUGGAUGUUGUGUAUGAGGAUUGCGUCUACAUAAAUAAACCGACAACAAAAGGUGUCUCAGUGAUUCGAAUUGAGUUUAACCCAACAGUACCACACUGUUCCUUAGCUACGCUCAUCGGUCUCUGUAUCCGUGUUAAAUUAGAACGUCACUUAAUCGCUUCAUUCAAACUGGAUAUCUAUAUCAAGGAAGGGGCUCAUGCAACAGAAGAUGAAAUUAACAAACAAAUAAACGACAAAGAACGAAUCGCUGCUGCAAUGGAAAACCCUAACUUGAGAGAUCUUGUUGAGAAGUGUAUUCAAGAGGAAGAAUGACCUGAUUAAAUUAUAUCGAUUUUACAUACCUGACUGGCUUUGCAUUUGGAAUGUCUUCCGCAUGUAUGCUGGGAUGAUUGUUGGGGAUCUUUUGGUAUGUUUGAAAAUUCGAUGUUCAUCUCGCAAAAAUAGUUAAUUCCUUCGAUUGGUGAGAAAACUAUUUCUUCAUUCAAAUCUUUCCAGCAAAGGUUGCGGCUCUGGUACUGGCGGAGGCGGUUCAACAUCUUCAAUGUCAAAUAAUUUGUAGAUUACUGAAUUUGGAAGGAAGCCAAACAAUCGCAAAUGCGGAUGCUGUACUUCAUCAGGUACAGCUUCUGGAUAUUCCGGGAAUUUUUCAAUACUGUAACCUGAUUUCCAUCGAAAAAUAUUAAAAAAUACUAAUGGUAUUAUGCGCAUCGAUAUGACGAUCUACAUCAAAAGUACGUCUAACGGUAUUUAAUAGCUAUUGAGUAACUUCUGUAUUUUGAUCUCGAUCCUUACCAUAAAACAUUUUGAAUAUUCCAGGUUUGUUGUAAUAUCUUUUCAUAGUUUUGUACUUUUCAACCAUAGCCCAAACAUCAUAUGGCGGUACUUCUGUGCUUGUUUUAUUCGAUCUUCCCAAUAUAUCAUCGAGAUAUUUUUCCCAGGCUUCUUGAUUCAUGAGCGACUUUCCUGUCACUAAUUUCACCGCCUUUAUUUCACCUUUCUCUAUACUAAUUACAUCUGAAAUUCAAAUUAAGCUAAUAAUCUCACAUCAUUUGACAUGUAAAUCGCCAUCAUAUGAACAAGGUUUCCUCAUACCCUGAUCUCUACGUCGUAGCUGAGCACACAUUUGUCCCUGGAUCAUUAAUUCCAAGCGAGGUGCGUCACCGUCACUGAUGUCCAAUGACCCAAGGGGUGCGCUGCUAACAGGAUGUAACAAAAAUUCUCGAUCUACGAUACUUUCAUAGACUCUGUAGUCUUUGUUCUCAGGUAUCAUCUCUUCUUCAUUUUCUUCAGGUAUUCCGUUCAUCAGUAUUCGAGCUCUGUAUUUUGGGGACAGAUCUGCCCAAUGAAAUAUACUUCAGUAACGAUUCAUAAAUGGUUUGAAAACGAACUAGAAUAUAAACUCUUGAUAUCUGUGUUUUGUUUUUUCUAGUACAAAGUAAUGCAUUCUUACAAUGACAAUACGAAAUUCUGUACAAGUGUCUCCCAGCGCCAAAGACGAUAUCUCCUCGCUGAGAGGAGAAAGCAAUGCUGUUAGCACAUGUAUAUUCUGGUGGUCCCAGAGACGUAUCGUGUUGUCCAUAGAGGACGUUGCACAGAUUUGGAGGGACUCUGAAGCUGCUAUGUCCACUAUCAAAUCUGUAUGAUCUUUCGUCGAAUGAUGAUCUACUCGAACUAACAGAUAAUUUAAUGUAAAGUCAUUUGUGCAGUUUGAACAUUGACAAUCAGGUACCUGAUUCCACCAUGUCGUACAUAAAUAAUUGAUGCAUUGGAGUCAGAGGACUGCUACUCGCCAUGCAAAUUACUGAUCUGUAAAAAUAUUACACAUACAUGUGUGUAAUUUUCAGAACUUUUUAUAUAAAAAGAAUAAUUUUUUUCUGGUCUCUAAUCAGAGGUUUUUUGUCAAAUUUAAAGUACAAGCAGUCAAGGCACGACUCACCCCAUGCUAACAACGUGCGUUAUCGGAACUGUAUAAUAAACCGAGUGUGCCAAGGCUAAUGGAACUUCCAAGUCAGGAAAUACUCGCCAAACUUUAACACUUUUGUCCGCUCCCACAGAUACAACAAGCCGUGAUAUGGUCGAUGACCAUAUUUUUGUUACUGGUCCAUUGUGAGCCUACGAUAUGAAAAUAUAAUUAUCAAAACGA